GCCAAGCAGCCAAGCAGCCACAGCCAUUGAAUGUCAGUCACAAAAAUGCAAUCACAGUUUGACACAAUUUUACCGAGGCGCCACUUCAACACGUUGCAGCGCUGCAAUAUCUUUACAGUUACAAAAGCCAGCCACACAAACACACACACACACACACAGGCAGUGGCAGAGGCAGAGGAAGUGCCAGUGGCAGUGGCAGGGGCAGACAGGCGGAGACCAACGCACGAACGACAACUCUGCAAACAACACAAUGACAACUCUUUAACACAGUUAAGUUGGCAGAGCUGCAGCGACAAUCGAUGUCGAUGUACAGUUAUCCAUUUGCCCAUACAUACCCUUUAAAUCGAAAUGGGAUAAAGCUUGGGGAGUAUACGACCUGGGGAAAUUAUGAAGGUGAGAAAAAUCGGAGGCAGGCUGGACAGUGGAAAAGAGCAUACAGAAAUUAUUAUACAGAAAGUAUAAAGCAUUAAGCACAACUUUGGCUGGCGUAUGAGCUCUUCCCUGCGUGUCCAAUUGGCAGUGUGCCUCUGCACCGUCCCUGACUUAUGGCAUGCCCCUCCUGUGGACGCCUGGCCAGGUCCUGGUCGCACUCCAAAUGCAACUUGCAACUGCAACCGUGGUAGCAGUGCCUCGGCGAUAUUUUACUGCGACAACAUUUCAUUGCAAACAUUGUGCAAUUUCACUUUAAACGUCAAUCGAUUUUCAUGUGAUUUUUACCAGCAUUUCUCCUCAUCGUAGCACCAAACAACCUAUGACUUUUCUUUAGUGUCCGCAGAAUUUUCUUUCUUUUCUUUUUUUGUUUGGCACACAAAAUUGCUUUGGUUUGAGUGGAAAAGUUUGUUAGGUGAAGACUUCUCGUAGUUGUGUUCAUUGGAGAAUGUUCAAAGUGGAAUCGAAUAAAGAUAAGCAUAUAAAUAUUUCGAGACUAUUUUCACUUCUUAGAAACAAACAUUUAUUACAGAUAUGUACUUCCAAUCAGAAUACAUAUAAGUACAUGCAGGAGUAAAUUAAUAAAAGGCAGUAAAUAAUUUUAACAACGUCUGCAGGCUAUCUAAAGUU